rnacentral:rRNA from 1 species
ACGAACCUGGCGGCGGCCCCUCAGCUUAUCGAGCGCGCCUUCGGGUCGCGGCGUACGGGUUAGUAACGCGUGGGAACGUGCCCUUCUCUACGGAAUAGCCUCUGGAAACGGAGAGUAAUACCGUAUACGCCCUUUGGGGGAAAGAUUUAUCGGAGAAGGAUCGGCCCGCGUUAGAUUAGGUAGUUGGUGGGGUAACGGCCUACCAAGCCUACGAUCUAUAGCUGGUUUUAGAGGAUGAUCAGCAACACUGGGACUGAGACACGGCCCAGACUCCUACGGGAGGCAGCAGUGGGGAAUCUUAGACAAUGGGGGCAACCCUGAUCUAGCCAUGCCGCGUGAGUGAUGAAG